AGUAUACCUCUAGCAAUUGCUAGAAGAGUACUGACAUUAGCUGAAAGAAGCAUCUGCUUGCCUUGGGUCAUGAUGAAUUUGAGAUGCCUAUGGGAAAUUUAGAUGAAGCUAUCUAGCAAGCAGUUGGCAAUGCCAUUGUGGAAAUCAGACAUGAGAUUUGGGAGACAUUUGCAUUGAGACAAUAACCAAACUCAUGGAAGCUAAUGAGAUGACCAAGGGAGAGAAUACAGAGAGAAAAGAGGGCACAAAGUAGAAUCUUGAAGGAUGCCUCCACAGUGGUAGAAGGAUGGAUGACACAGCAAAGGAGGCUGAAAAGCAAUAGUCAGAUAAAGGACAAUCAAGAGAAAAGUGUCACAGAAGCCAAGAAAGAAGAGGAUGUCUAGAAAGACAGGGUGGUUGACACUGUCAGGAGCUGCAGAAAAGUCAAUUAGAAAGAAGACUAAGAAAAGACCACUGCAUUUAGAGGCUAAUAAUACUGUACAAACUGGCACACAGGGAAGAUCUGUCACCUGGUUUUGCAUAACUUUUUUUCUUUGUUAAAACUGAAGGCCAAUCUUAAGGUUGGGAGGGGAGAACAGAUAUCUUCAGAAAUGACUAUGAUAUAAAAAACAAAAGGCAUUAAUAAAACUUUUAAAAAGAGAACAAUGGCUUGUAAGAUCAGUUUCAAUCAAGUACAGUCAUAUUAAAAGGGAUUAGGAAAUAAUUAGGAGGUGAAGAAAUGGAGGCAAUAAAUGAAGGGAACCCUUUCUAGCAGUUCGGUUGUGAAAGGAAGAAAAUAUAGAUGACUACUUGAAGAAAUGGCAAGGGCAUAUCAUGCAGGCAGAUAAUUUUCUCAAGGACAGGGCUAUGGUAUACCAGGUAAGUAGAAAACCCAUAACUCUUGGGAAGGGAAGGGCAGGAUAGUGCCAUUAUUGUCCAGAGUCCUCAAAAAUAUAUGCACACUCUAAGAAAUGAUGAGCAGGCAGAUUUCAGAAAACCUGGAAAGACUGAUGCUGAGUCA